rnacentral:rRNA from 1 species
GACAGAGGUGCCAAGCGUUAGGCGGAAUCACUGGGCUUAAAGCGUGUGUAGGCGGUCUUCUAAGUCCCUUGUGAAAUCCCGGGGCUCAACCCCGGAACUGCCUUUGAUACUGCGAAUCUCGAGUCCGGAAGAGGUGAGUGGAAUUCCAGGUGUAGCGGUGAAAUGCGUAGAUAUCUGGAGGAACACCGGUGGCGAAGGCGGCAUCCUGGACCAACACUGACGCUGAGGAGCGAAAGCCAGGGGAGCAAACGGG